rnacentral:rRNA from 1 species
AACAGCUAUAAUUUACUUGAUCUUGACACAAUCCUACUUGGAUAACUGUGGUAAUUCUAGAGCUAAUACAUGCAUUAAAGCUCUGACCUCACGGGAAGAGUGCAUUUAUUAGAACAAAACCAAGCGGCUUCGGCUGUUUCUGGUUGACUCAUAGUAACUGAGCUGAUCGCAUGGUCUUGCACCGGCGACGUGUCUUUCAAGUAUCUGCCGUAUCAACUUUCGAUGGUAGUGUAUCUGACUACCAUGGUGAUCACGCGUAACGGAGAAUAAGGGUUCGGCUCCGGAGAGUUCGCCUGAGAAAUCGCGAACACAUCUAAGGAAGGCAGCAGGCGCGAAAAUUACCCACUCUCAGCACGAGGAGGUAGUGACGAAAAAUAACGAGACCGUUCUCUUAUGAGGCCGGUCAUCGGAAUGGGUACAAUUUAAACCCUUUAACGAGUAUCUAUGAGAGGGCAAGUCUGGUGCCAGCAGCCGCGGUAAUUCCAGCUCUCAAAGUGCAUAGAAUUAUUGCUGCGGUUAAAAAGCUCGUAGUUGGAUCUGUGCCAUAGGACGUGGUCCACCUUCGGGUGCGUACUACGCUCCUAGGCUUUUUGCUGGUUUUCCCGUCGUAGCCUUCACUGGUUGCGGCGGGUGGCUGGCGAGUUUACUUUGAGAAAAUCAGAGUGCUCAAUACAGGCGUAUCGCUUGAAUGAUUGUGCAUGGAAUAAUAGAAAAGGAUUUCGGUCCUCUUUUAUUGGUUUUGUGGACUGAGAUAAUGGUUAACAGGGACAAACGGGGGCAUUCGUAUCUCUGCGUGAGAGGUGAAAUUCUUGGACCGUAGAGAGACGCCCUACUGCGAAAGCAUUUGCCAAGAAUGUCUUC